AACGUAGGAGACAAACGUUAUCCGGAGUUACUGGGCGUAAAGCGCGUGUAGGCGGUCCGGUAAGUCCGCUGUGAAAGUCGGGGGCUCAACCCUCGAAUGCCGGUGGAUACUGUCGGGCUAGAGUGCGGAAGAGGCGAGUGGAAUUCCUGGUGUAGCGGUGAAAUGCGCAGAUAUCAGGAGGAACACCAAUUGCGAAGGCAGCUCGCUGGGACGUUACUGACGCUGAGACGCGAAAGCGUGGGGAGCAAACAGG
rnacentral:rRNA from 1 species